rnacentral:rRNA from 1 species
UACGGGGGGAGCAAGCGUUGUUCGGAUUUACUGGGCGUAAAGGGCGCGUAGGCGGCGCAACAAGUCACUUGUGAAAUCUCCGGGCUUAACCCGGAAACUGCCAUUGAUACUAUUUAUCUUGAAUACUUUGGAGGUAAGCGGAAUAUGUCAUGUAGCGGUGAAAUGCUUAGAUAUGACAUAGAACACCAAUUGCGAAGGCAGCUUACUACACAGUGAUUGACACUGAGGCACGAAAGCGUGGGGAUCAAACAGG